rnacentral:rRNA from 1 species
GACGAACGCUGGCGGCGUGCUUAACACAUGCAAGUCGAACGGAAAGGCCCUGCUUUUGUGGGGUGCUCGAGUGGCGAACGGGUGAGUAACACGUGAGUAACCUGCCCUUGACUUUGGGAUAACUUCUGGAAACUGGGUCUAAUACCGGAUAGGAGCUCCUGCUGCAUGGUGGGGGUUGGAAAGUUUCGGCGGUUGGGGAUGGACUCGCGGCUUAUCAGCUUGUUGGUGGGGUAGUGGCUUACCAAGGCUUUGACGGGUAGCCGGCCUGGGAGGGUGACCGGCAACAUGGGGACUGAGAUACGGCCCAGACUCAUAAGGGAGGAAGAAGUGGGGAAUAUUGAAAAAUGGGCGGAAGCCUGAUGCAGAAAGGCCGCGUGCGGGAUGAGGGCCUUCGGGUUGUAAACCGCUUUCGCCGGGGACGAAGCGUGAGUGACGGUAAUGGGUAAAGAAGCACCGGCUAACUACGU